rnacentral:rRNA from 1 species
AUUGAACGCUGGCGGCAGGCCUAACACAUGCAAGUCGAGCGGGGUUUUCGGACCUAGCGGCGGACGGGUGAGUAAUGCGUAGGAAGCUACCCGAUAGAGGGGGAUACCAGUUGGAAACGACUGUUAAUACCGCAUAAUGUCUACGGACCAAAGUGUGGGACCUUCGGGCCACAUGCUAUCGGAUGCGCCUACGUGGGAUUAGCUAGUUGGGGAGGUAAUGGCUCACCAAGGCGACGAUCCCUAGCUGGUUUGAGAGGAGGAUCAGCCACACUGGAACUGAGACACGGUCCAGACACCUACGGGAAGCAGCAGUGGAGUAUAUUGGACAAUGGACGCGAGCCUGAGCGAUUCAUGCAGCGUGUGUGAAGAAGGCCUUCGGGUUGUAAAGCACUUUCAGUAGGGAGGAAGCGUUGUGUGUUAAUAGUACACAGCGUUGACGUUACCUACAGAAGAAGCACCGGCUAACUCUGUGCCAGCCGCAGCGGUAAAAC